rnacentral:tRNA from 1 species
GAGAUGGCUCAGUGGUUAAGAGCACUGACUGCUCUUCCAGAGGACCUGGGUUCAAGUCCCAGAACUCA